rnacentral:rRNA from 1 species
ACGGAUAAUGCAAAUCGAAGCUAUUUGAUGUCUGACUCAGGCCUAUAUGACCGAUCGAUCGAAAUACUCCAAGACUCCACCUUUGUCAUAUAUUCCAUAUAUCAUAUUAGAUAG